AUUGAACGCUGGCGGCAGGCCUAACACAUGCAAGUCGAGCGGAGCGGCGGACGGGUGAGUAAUGCCUAGGAAUCUGCCUGGGAGUGGGGGAUAACGUCCGGAAACGGGCGCUACUAACGCAUCCUAUCAGAUGCGCCUAGGUCGGAUUAGCGAGUUGGUGGGGUAAAGGUCUACCAAGGCGACGAGCCGUAACUGGUCUGAGAGGAUGAGCAGUCACACAUGAACGGAGACACGGUCCAGACUCCUACGGGAGGGAGCAGUGGGUAAUAUUGUACAAUGGGCGGAAGCCUUAUCCAGCCAUGCCGCGUGUGUGAAGAAGGUCUUCGGAUUGUAAAGCACUUUAAGUUGUGAGGCGUUACCAACAGAAUAAGCACCGGCUAACUUCGUGCCAGCAGCCGCGGUAAUUC
rnacentral:rRNA from 1 species